UAAGAAUUUAAGAUCCCUGGACGUGUGCCUGUACUCACCUACUUGGAGGCUGAGACAGAAGGGUCCCUGAACUCCAGAAGUUCAAAGACAAUCAGUAUAUAACUCACCAGGCCUCCUUCCAAAGCCUCUAAGGUGGUCCAGUUCCACGUGUGUACUGUAUAUCUUAGUUUGCCCUCUUACCGAUUGAAACCCACCUCAGCAAGUAUUUGAUUUUUAGCUAUCAUGUGUAAUAAAGGUAUUUAUGCAGGAAUAAUGAAACAAUAAAACUUGGGUGUGGUGCUGGACCUGUCAUUAAACAGGGUGAACCUGUCAUUAAACCCUCCUCUGAAGAUGUAAAGAUCAAGUGUUGCAUUUCUCCCUAAUCUUCCCAGGGGAGACUGAGUGAACAUAUUGCUUUCCCAUUUUUAAAUGUAACAGUUGAUGCAACAGUGAAAUGGGAAGAGAGCCACACGUCUGUUGCCCAACAACUCUGGGGAGAUGGCUGUGUGAGAAGGCUGGGCAGUUCUUACAAAACAGGGAGUCAGUCAUUCACUGUUGCCAGGGUGCACAGGCAGAAUGGCAAUGGAGGAAGAAAGAGUUUGGUGUUUUGUUAGCAAGUAGAAGAACUAAACCAUCAGUACUGGUGACUGAACAGGCUUUUGUGGAUACUGGGCGAUUGUUCUGCUGUGGGACAGCAUCUCCAGCAAAUGCUGAAGUCGUUAAAAUAUUCACACAAUCACACUGCUUCAUAUAACCUAACAGCGAGCUCUGGGCUUCUCUGAAACUUGCAAAGUAAAAGGUACUUUGUACCAGUAUCUAAGCUACCUUCUGUAUAGAUCCUGUUUCUGGGGAUAAAAACAUUUAUAAAUGAGAAAAUGCAAAAGAAUUGUUUUCCUUUGAGGAAAACACAAGAAAAUCACGACAAUACCGGGGGAAAGCCAAUGAGUAGACUGACAGAAUUUUCCACGAGGAAGAAGUGGGAGUUUUACUCCUUAAGUUGAAGGAAAAGCGUUUGGGGUAGGGGCAUUGCUUGUCAAGUGCGCGAUCGCAGUCACCAGCACCAAGGACAGCGACAACCCAUCCUGCUGGGCCGGGUGGUCCUUAUCCUCAGCAAACAAUUCUAGGGGCACCAACUUUGAUGGUUUAAUGCCCCCUCCCCCACCUGCCACCACCUGUAAUCCCAGCAUCCAGGAAGCUGUGGCAGGAGGACUGUGGCAAGUUUAAGGCCAGCCUGGACUACAGGGUGAGGCCUUGUUUUAAAAGAUCACAAGCAAAAUAACAGGAAACGCCCAUAAAGAAACUCAGUGGGCUUUCCCCACAAAAGCCAACCUGCUCAACUUGUUUUCCAGGUAUUAUUGUAUUAUGUAACAUUAUCUCUAUAAAGAAUAAUAGUCACUAUAUUUGAAAGAAGGAAAACAAACAAACAAACAAACAAAUAUUCUAUUUCCUGUUCCAAGUGGCUUUACAGUA
rnacentral:lncRNA from 1 species